UUUGCAUCACAAGUUGUUAACCAAAAUAUACUAGCAUAUUCUACCAAAUUACAUUGUAUACCAGAAGCUAAUACAACUUCCUUUUGUUCCUAUAAGUAUGCAUUAUAUCGUUGGCAUCCAUAGUUUAAAUAUUAUGGAGAACAAGAUCUUAUAAGUAUAAUAAUUUGAUUAGAAACUAGCAUAAAGCUUAAUCCAGCACUUAACUGAUUUCAUCGAGUGAUAAAAUGUGCAACUAAAUUUUCAUGUCGAUGCUAACUGCUGUCUUUUUUGGAACAUGCAUAACAAGAUCGGGAAAGCAAGAUAUAUGGCACUUUAGCAAGCUACUAGCUAAUUGUUAAUGCAGCACAUCUAGGAUUUGCAUAUAGCCUUUUAGCACAUAGGCAACUUACCUCAUUUGAUUCACUCAACAAAAGCCUUCGUUCAGAGUGUCCCAGAAUGACCCAUGGAAUGUCAAGGUUGACAAGCAUCUCAGCACUGCACAAGGAAAAACAAAUAUAUUCAAAUUAGGAGUGCCCAAUUGUUUUACAACAUUGUUAUAACUUAAAGAUGUGCAAGUAGGCAAUGAAAUGGCCAUUCAAAUAAAAACACCAUCAAAGUUGAAAAACCUAAAAAUAUACUACAGAAUGAACCAAAAAUAGAAACCUUAAAAAUCAAAAGUUCAUAACAUAGUAAGAAUUUGAUGAAAAAAGGCCCAUAAAAUGUGAUCCAAUGAUAAAAAUAUAAAUAAGAGAAAAAGUUGUUCUUAUUUGAACAGAGAGCAUGAACAAGUUCAAAUUCAUCUAGGGACAAAAAUCAUACCUAAUCUCACCAGUGUAAGCACCUCCUUUCUUAACCCAACAAUUUUGUGCUGCGACAUGGAAUUCAGGGCGCAACGAGCUUUUUACGAGCGGAAGAAAAACAAAUGAAGGGCUAACCACCACAUCUGCAGAGAUAAUAAUACAUAUAAUUUAAUGCGUUUACAGUGGUUGCACAUCGACAACUAGCCUAUCUAACAGUUAUAAAUAGAUACAACAUGUAAAUGACAGCAUACACAUUCUAAUUCCACAAGACAGUUUUGCAGAACAUGUGAGGAACUGGAAAAGCAACUCAGCGGAUAACACCAAUGAGUAUCAAGAACUAAAGGUUUCAAAGGCGAAGAUAUAAUUCUAUCUCUCAGUCAAAUAAAAUUGACGAUCGCUAAAUCAUCAUGAAUUUCUUGAGAAUCUAGUCUCGUUAAAACUGAAAUUUGUGAAUCAGAUGCCAGAGGGGAUGGAAUAGAAAUUAAUGUUCAGAAACCAUCUGAAUAACGCACUGACUAAGUUUCACACCAAACCAAACAAAAUUGUUGGUUACCAACCACUCAUCUAACAUCUCACUAAUCAAGCAGCAAUGACCUGGAAUCUUACCUAAGGAUCUUAGCAGUUAAUACCGACGAUAUAAAAGACAAAAAUAUAUGAGGAAACAUUGAAAGAAAAAAGAAAGCUCAAGUAGAUCUGACAAGCAAAUGCAUAGGAUUUCAUUUGUGACAAAUAGAACAAACAGUAUGUGAAUAUUUCCAAAACAUAUCCCUAAAUAUUCGAUCAAGAUCAUAGGGUUCACAACCAUACCGACAACAUCAGCCGAUGCAACUUUGCCAUCGUUCAGGAUGCUGACAAUUUUCUUGACCUCCUCGCUGGUCCCAUUCUGCGAAUACGGCCCAAAUAAAAACACAUUUAGCAUCAGAGUUCCAUGAUCUUAUAUUUUUUCCCAUAUUUAGUAGGCAAUCAAAAUCAAAGAGGACUAGAGAACAUGGAGUGGAGACAUAAAAAAGGAAACAGAGGUGUCCGAAUCCAGUAUAUCAAGAAGAUCGACUCUAAUUAGUUAAAAUUAGUGGAAACGAAUAAGAUUAAUAUGAAUCAGAGAAGAACGAGAGGAAACAGCAACAAAUCAUGCCGAUCGAUGGGAUCGGAUAACUUAAAGCUGACGAUCGAUGAAAGACGAGUAAAUCGGAGAGAUUUCCAGCAACAAGGACUGGCCAAGACCGCAAAUUUCACCAGCCAGGCUAUUAAGAUCUGCAAAAGUGGCAGUAGGGCAAAGUACCAAGCGCGAUCUAGAAAAAGGAAGAAAAGGGUAAAUGCGAGGAUUACGCAUUUCCAGUUGCCGCCGACGAAGAACUUCCUGGCCAUGUCUGAGGAGGUAGGCGACGAUGCUCAAAUCCAAAAGCCCUUUCCCUUGGCUUGGUCGAAUUAGAGGAUGCGGAGGUCUGGGCACUCAUAUAUACGGCGACUGAGACGAGAGGCGAUGGAAACAAGGGGAUGCAUUGGCACGAAUCUCGAACGUGCCAUUGGCUCCGAUGGGUGUCCGCGAUCGAUCCCGCCCGUCGAAUCAUAAGGAUCAACGAUCUGCUGUUUCCCCUUGACACAGCGAAUAGAUUUAUCAUGGAAUAGAUAUCUAGACACGUAGAUAAAGCUUCCGGGACAGGACCCACAUACGUGCCGUCGUGCACAGCUGCCGGCGAGCUGACGGUGCGAGUCCUGCGUGGUGAUUGGGUUCUCGGGACAUCGAUUACACGCCGUCGAGGGCAAUAUAAUAAGAUCCAGGCACUUGUAAUACAGGAGGAGCCCAUCGGAUCGUACAUCUGUGGGUUGGAUGAACACAGCUCUCCACGAUCAUUCUAUUAUUAUUAUUAUUAUAGCAAUAUUAUAAUUAUUAUUUAAGAUCAAGAUACAGUUAACAUUUUUAGCAACUAAGCUAGUAAACAUCUUUAAUUUCUUUUAAAAAAUAUAUUAGAUGAUACUUUGACCUUUAAUAUUUGGUAAGAAAGUAUAAUAUAUCAUCACUAUAUUAAUAUUUAAUAUAUUUAUUGUAAUAAUAUUAAUUAUUAUAAAUUUAUGUAUCGGAUAAAAUAUUAUUAUAAGAUAUAUCGAGCAUGAUAUAUCUAUAUAGCUACAAGAUACAUCGAUCCAAAAUAUAAGCAUUAAUGUAUAGGAUGAACCAUAAUUGGGCAAAGGAUUUCUUAUGACCGAUGCAACCACUUAGAGCUCGACGAAGACAAUCAAAAUGUUUUUUUACUCUUUAAGAAAAUUAGAUUGAGAAGAAAACAAACAGGAAAAAGAAUUUUUUGUAUUGGGAAAAGACAGCUACUUCACAUAACAUAAAGCACCGAAUACAACACUGCUACCGUAUCCGGAAAUCAUACAUACUUAAAGGUAAGUAUGAUCGACAUCAUCUCUAAGUCUUACGGAAGGAUACUCCCUAUUUAAGAGCAACAACGCUUCAGCAACUCACGUCUGAUAUCUGCAGUUCCCGUAACCUGCCACAGUCAAAGAAUGAUCAGCGCUGCAGGAAUCAGGAAGAACAGAGAGGGAAAGCGUGAGAUCAGAUAAAACGCAUGCGUCCACUUACUUGGGUCGGUCGAGGUGAGGACGCCGCUGCCGCCAAAGUAGCAGUUGAAGUCAUGGCGGCCGGCGGCCUGGUAGUAGGCGUUCAUGGCAUAAGAGGCGUGGGCCAAGAGCGUGUUGGGGUCGAAGCACGCGCCGCCGUUCUGUAUGGCCCCGCAAUCCGCCCCGCCGCUGCCGCACGCGUAGUCGAUGUUGUUCUGCAGCUCCGCUAGGCUCGCGUCCGCCGUUGCCACGCACCACCUCCAGGAAUCACCCGAGGGCGCCGGCGCCUGCAGAAUACCACCGUCACUCGAGUAUCGAACGGAAGCAAAACUCAUUUCUAGCAUGGCUGCCCCAACCAUGUUAUCUAGCAUGACCGUCCGACCCUUUGGUAUAGUAACUUUUUUAGAAUGACGUAUUUACCCUCAAUAUAAUACGUAUACUCCCCCAAAAAACAGUGUUUAGUGUCGAUUGGUUUGAAUCAAAUAUUUAAGAUAUCAUUAAUAACAUUAUCACCGUAAAAUUGAACGGAUGUUUAUGAUAAAUUUAAAUUUAGAAGGAUAAAUACGAAUACGUGUAUAAGUAUAAUAUACGCAAUUUUGAAGUAAAAGUAAAGAGGAGGACAGGACUCACAUUGUCGCUGUCGCGCAUAAGGCCGACGUCGUAGGACGGGGAGAGGUCGGCGUUGAAGAGCCCAAAGUGCCGCUCCGCAGUCGGCCCGGGCUUCAGGUUCUCGUUGAACAGCGCGAACACGUACGUCUCGAACCGCCGGCCCGGCAUCAUCGGCGUUCCCUUCCCAGAGUUCACCAGACGUAUCAGGUUGGCGUUGUAGGAGACCGCGUCCUCCACGCUCACACCGAGCUGGCCCGGGUCCCCGGCCGACGGCCACCCCGUCUCCCCCACGGCGAUCUCUACGUCUCCGUACCCCAGUCGCUGCAUCGCCGCUUGCACCGCGUCCAGCUGCGCCACGAACAUGUUGGUGUAGUUCACCCCCGUGGCCGGGUCGAACACCCCCGGGUUGGGGCGGAAGAGGGCGUAGUCGAGAGUGCGCGCUGUGUAGCCGAAGUAGGGGUAGGGGUUCACCACGAACGGGGUGCGCGUCCGGCGGUGGAAGUCAAGCAUCGGGGCGAAGAUGACGCGGUCGUAGCCGGGGCGGAAGCGGCCGGUGGAGGGCGGCUCGGAUGCAGAGAGGAUACCGAGGGAGUGGGGGGUGGAGACCCUGAUCUGGGGGAAGCCGGAUGCGGCAAGUGCCGCGGAGAGGGAGCGCAUAGCGGGGACGAGAUGGGCGAUGAGGUUGCGGUCGGAGGUGGCGAGAACCUCGUUUCCGACGGCGAUGAGGGAGAUGUUGGUCGCAGGGUAGAAGGGGGCGACGUUUAUGGCAACCCAGGCGGAGGCAGCAGGGGAUGGGGCAGAGGAGCGACGGGAGGCGAGGGAGGGGAUGUCCCCGUUGGGGACCGUGAUCAUGAGGGAGAUUCCGGUGCCAGCGAAGGCACGAAUGAUGUCCGGGUUGGCGUCGAAGAGCUUCACACGGUCGACGAAGGUGCGGUCCUUGAGGAAGGCGGCGACUUGAGCCGGCGGCGGGAGAUUGUCCGCGAAGGCACCGUAGUUGACGCCGACGGAGAGGGCCGCGGACAAGGAGAGAAGGUGGAGUAGGAGUAAGGGGAAAACGACGAGCUUCGCUGCUUUCGCUAGAGAAGCCAUUGCCGAGGGAUUUGGGGCUUUUGGUGGUGAAGCGAGACGGCGAAGGGGGGUGGAUUUAACGAGGGAAAAAGGUGUGCGAUGUUCCACUGACGCCUGUGGGCGCUGUCACGUGGCGACGACUUCGAAACGGGGAAUACGAACGUUAUGUUUCAAGGAGGCUGCCGCGAUCCACAUUCAAAUACGUGGACGGCUGAUUGGGGCGGUCCAAACAAUAGCUUUAUGGACUAUGAUUUAGUGUACAUAAAAGCGGGCGUUAUAAAGAUUACCAAUUCAUUUCCAACGCAAAUAAUCCACGAUGAUUGCAGAUAUUAAAUAUAUAAUCACGCAUUUGUAUAUACAUAUUUGGUAAUAAUUAGGGGUUUCUUUAAUUGGAUUAAUUAAGGUAUUAAUAGCUUAAGAAACAGGAGCAAGAGAAAGAGCUUGAUGGGCCAUAAGGAGCAUUUGGACCUAACUUUGAUGGGCUGUAGAACGGCUCGAUAGAAGCCUGUCAAAAUGUGAAGCUGACGAGAACCGUUAAACCCUAACCGGCCGACUACUCCCUCUCUCUUCCUUCUCAGCGCUCCGUGCUUGCUGGUGACGAAGGUAUGACCGCUACAGCUCGCUAAGGAUGCUGGCCCGAUUCGUUUCCCAUCGCGGCCCCUUCCGCUUCGUAGCCCUAACCACCGUAGCUUCCUCCCAUGUCCGCCGCGCCCCGUCCUCUCCCCCUCCUCUCCGGCCUCCGCCCACCUUUCUUGGUACUCUUACUCGUCUCGCUCUCCCUCCCUCCGAUCCCAAUUCCACUUUCUUUCCGUCUCUGAGGUCAUUCUCGAGCAAUCGAGGUGACGAUGACGAUGGCGACUGGAAGUUUACGCCGCAGUCCGACGAGGUCGGCUCCGUAUUCGGGGAGGAGGAGGGCGACCUUGCCGGGAUCGCUGAUGCCGCAGAGGGCGGGUCGGAGGUGGCCGCCGCCGGGGCCGACGUUAAGAGCGGGGAUCUGUGGGAAAAGGGUAUUGUGACGGAGGGUGAAGGGGAUAUUUUUUACGGCAUCGAUCGGGGGUUUGUGGCCAAGGAGGGCGGGGUAAGAGAAGGGAAUGAGGAAUGGGAGACGGCGGAGGGGUACAAGCCGUGGACGCUUGGUGACGAUGAUGAGAAAGGGGACUUGUUCGGUGUCGUCGAAGAAGGGGAGGCAGGGAUUGAGGGGAUCGAUGGCGGUGGUGUCGAGGAUUUGGAUAAGGCAAGGGCUGAUGAGCAGAAGCAGCUGGAGAAGAAAGAGGAAGAACUUUUAGCUGCUUUGAAAGGUAAGAAUCACAGAACACAUCUCAAGAAAGGAUCUUCUUGUUUAAUGUUACCCGAUUGAUGUUAAUCUCAACAGUCAAUGCUUAUGUAUGUACCCAUUUUCUGCAAGCUGAUUUGUAAUUAUCAUUGAUCUGGAAUUUUCUAUGUUGCAAUAUUUAUUGAAAAGGUUUUAGCUUGUCUCUUCAAUAAUUUGAAGCUUAUCCUAGUUGUUUGUUGUCUUGUACUGUCACCUGUGCUGAUAUAUGUUUGGGAAAGAAACUGCUUCUUUCUUUAGGUUUCUCACAAAUGACUGGUCAUGUUUAUUGUUGGUUUGAUGAUGAACUUUCUUGCUGUAUCGUCUCCCAUUCCAAUUGUUUUGGUUCUCAAAAUGUCUUGUUCCUGUAGCAAGUGGCAUGAAUGACAUAUGGCAAGUAGCAGUCUCUAUUCAACAACAACUAAUGUCAAGUUGUCUUGCUCCUACAACAUAUAAAUAUGAAAAAAGCAUGAAUAAUCUGAGACACAGGCUUUGCCAUCUUUCUAAUGUGUACACGAGAGAGAGAGAGAGAGGACUCAAAAUAUAUUUUGUGUUAAACAUCUUUGUUCUAUGGUUACAUGUAAAUCCAUUGAAGUAAGAUUAUUGAUUUAAACCUAAUACCUGUGUGAAGGAAUUGUAUGUUUAUCUCAUCACAUAAUGUUGCUUCUUAGUUUCUAUUGUUGUUGUCUUUUCACUAUUUCUUCUUGUGGAGUGAUAUAUUUCUAUUUCAUCAUGGAAUGCUGUUUCUUACCUUCUUUUGGUGUUAUUGGUGUUCUUUCUUCUUGUGAAGUAAAUAUGAUAAGAUUAUGAGAAUUAAAAUGAGAAAUAAUAUAUGUUUAUUUCAUCAUAGAACAUUGCUUCUUAGUAUCUUUUGUUGUUUUCUUUGCUCUUUCUUCUUGUGAAAUAAUGUGGCAAUGUUGUGAGAAUUAAAAUGACAUCCGAGGAAAACAUAAUCUAUCUUGUUUUUAGCUCGUUUUAGCCCUUUUUUCUUUAGAGUGGUGGAUGUUCUUGAUACUAGUUUUCUCUGAGAGAUUUUACUCUUCUGUUUUGGUGAUCGUGCUUCUUUGUCAUCUUUGUUCUUUUGGUUAUCUAGCAGAACUUUUUUGGUAGUCCAAUUUCAUAUCUUGUUAUUUUACUUCUUUCUUUUAAUUUAAAUAUCCUGAAGAUAGUACAGGAUAACUGUUAGAUAGUUGAAGAUGUUUGGGUUCUGUUGUAUUGUAUGUUGGUACUUUCAGAGUAGGACCAAUGAAUAGAUAAGAAGCUCCAUUCAUGUUAAAGAGACUCUGAUUGCUUGCAUCUUGUGUUUCUCCUUAGUACACAGCAAUGCAAACUGCUUAGGGCUCAAUGUUUAAAAUGGCAGGUCCAAAUCGGGCAUUUGGAGAUCUCAUUGCAGCAUCAGGAAUCACGGAUGAUAUGAUUGACAGUUUGAUUCUCUUGAAGGAUGUAAGCGGUGUCAAGGGUUUGCCUCCCCUGACAGAAAUUGAAGACAAAGCUAUUGCAAGAUUGAAUGAGACAUCAACAAGAGUUGAAAUUGAGCGGAAGAAACAGGAGGAAGUAGCAAAAGCUCGGGUUAGAGUGGUGGAUGAGAAGGGGAGAGCUUAUGGAACAGGAAGACGAAAAUGUAGCAUAGCUCGUGUAUGGAUUCAACCUGGUGACGGCAAGUUCAUCGUCAAUGAAAAGCAGUUCGAUGCUUACUUCUCAAUUCUUGAUCAUCGAGUACAACUUCUUCAGCCUUUCAUUGUGACAAAAACUCUUGGUCUCUGGGAUGUAAAUUGCACCGUCCAAGGGGGUGGAGUUUCUGGUAAGCUUUAUGACUACAAAAUUAUCUUUGUUUUGAGAAUUAUUGUAGAUGAACGAUCCAAUUUUAAGUAGAAAAUAACAGUGAUUUAAAAAGGUGCUUGAGCGCUCGCCUAGGUCUCGGGCAAGACGAGACGAGGCUCAAGCCCCUCGUUUAAGGGCCAGGUUGCGCGCUUCAAAGAGGCGUCGCCUGGGCGCUCGCUCCAGACUAGGCACCGGGUGCUUCGGGCAAUCGCCCGGUUUAAUUAAGCAAACCGAACCAGACUUUUAAGUCUGGUUUGGUUAAAUAAUAUAGUUUCUUACCUCAAGCCACCCUUCACUCUCGCACGACCCCGAGGAACCCUAGUGUUGCUUCUGCCUUUGUCAUCGACACUUUUUGUCGUUGCCUCCGCCACUAAUGCAAAGGACCAAACCUUCCUUUGUCGUCGACUGGCGAGUCCGACGCCCCCCGUAGCUUCCUUCCGCUGUUGCUCUGUGUGCAGUUCCUUCCACUGUCGAGGGAGUGGAUCGCAAAUUCCUUCGCCACUGACGGACACCCUCUGAAGCUUUUGUCGUUGUUGCUGUUGCUGUCCGCAGCUUUCGUUGCCGAUGUCCGUAACUUCCUCCAUUGGCGCUGUUGCUAUUCGCAACUUUCGCCGCUAUCACUGCUGUUGUCCGCAACUUCUACCGUUGUCGCUGUUGCAACAAUUUUAAACUGAUCCUCUGUUAUUGUUAACAUUUUUUUCUCCCCUCUAACUAUUGUUAAUAGUAAAUAAUAUACUGUUAACAGUAUAUUUUUAAUUUAAUAUCAUAUUUUAUUUAAAUAUUUUUUAUUAUUUUAUAUAUUUUAAUAUUUUAAUAUUUUAGAGCAUUUCGUUUUGCUCGGUGAGCGCCAAGUGCCUUAGCCAUUUUGGGACCUUGGUGCCUAGCGUUUUUUAAAUCACUGACAAGUACAUGUGUCGUAAGACAUACACAAGCAUUGUUAUAAAUUCUGUUUUUCUUAGUUGACGAACUGAAAGACAAAAAUUACCUUUGUAGAUUUAGAGAGGCUAUCUUUUCUUGUUUUUAGCUAUGGGACUGAUGCAACGAACCUCUUCGCUAUUGCAGGUCAAGUUGGUGCCAUUCGCUUGGGAAUCAGCAGAGCCUUGCAAAACUGGGAACCAGGGCUCCGGCCUUUCCUAAAAGCUGGUAAAUACUCUUACCAAAUUAGUUAUUAAGAUAUACUGUGAUAAAAUUUAACAAUCCAUUUUAAAUCCUAGCAUUGCAGUGUAACCUCAUCCUCAUUGUGCUUCUCAUGAACCCCCUCUUGGAUUUAGUAACCGACCUACCUUCAUCGCCCGUGUUUAGAUUCGAGUAGUGUGGCAUAUAGUGUGGUACUUAUUAUCCAACUGUUGACAUGGCUUGUGUGCUUCAUCUAGCUGGCUAUUUGACGCGAGACCCACGUGUAGUCGAACGGAAGAAGCCUGGAAAGGCCAAAGCCAGGAAGAGCUUUCAAUGGGUCAAGCGAUAACAGGUGUGGUUGUCAUUCCCUUUCUCACUGGAGAUACACUACCCUGUCACCAUUUAGGGGCUUACGAUGUUGAUCUGGAGAUGUAUCAUUUAUAAUGUGCAGGUUCUUGCGCAUCUUCUGCUCUCAGCUAUUUGGUAUUGCUGGCCCCUCAGUGAUGUUAUACCUCUGCUUGUUUUGUAGCCUGUAGCUCAAGAGAUCUUACUUACUACUUGCUCAUCCACUUGUGAUCAUAUAAUUAAUUUAUUUGAGCAACUGUAGGCAUCCAUCUAUCAAUCUUUUGCUUGUCAGCUUUUAUGUGGACCUUCUGUGUUUCAGAAUAAAGCGAACCAUCAAUUUUUCAAAGAGACACCAUUACUGUUCCAGAAUUGAAUUGAGGAAGGUAGUGAUGAUGUCUUGUUGUUUUUAAAGGUAACGGUGUAAAUCCUUUUAUCAAUAAUGUUUCUUUAGAAAAUUAUAAGACCUGAAAGUGAAUCAGAUUAUCAAUUUAUAUUUUACAUUGGAAAUUGUGCAAAAUGAUAUGUUGAACCUCAUUUCCCUUCUCUCCAUCUCUUCCGGUUUCUCCCAUUUGACAAACUUAUUGGGAAUAUUGAUCUGAAUUUAUUUUUAUAUCUGAGGAGUUAAUGACCUGACAAAGAUACACUUUUUGAUUUAUUUGUCGAGGAUUAAAGAUUCAAUGAUCUUUUUUGAUUUAUUUGGCAAGAAUUUAAUAAAUAAACAUUCAAAUUUUAUCAACAUUUUUUUAUACCAAAAAUAUUGAUCUUCUUGUUUAUCUGCAUAAUCAAUCCACUUCUCUAAAAUCACAAGCUCAGAACAGGAAAGCGAUAUGCAUCACAGGAAGAAAACUUGCUUCUUUUUCAAGUACUAAACGACACACAACACUCGAAACUAACAGCAGACGCACACAAACCACAGACAACAAGAUAGAAGCAAGAGAGAGAGAGAGAGAGAGAGGGAGAGGUCUGUUCUCUCUCUCAGCCAUGGUGACGAGAACAACAUCCUCCGAGGGAAGAGGGUUGAGACAGUAAGCCAUGGCCUUUUAUUUCCAUCACCAAGUCCAAACACAAGUCACUAACCCCACAACACCACCACCGAUGCUGCUCCUCUCCCUCUUCAAACUCUGAUCAUCUCCCUCAUUUGCAG
rnacentral:lncRNA from 1 species